CUCAGCCCCAGCAAGAAGUCAGUUCUCUCUUACGUGACAGGCAGCCUUCUUUGUCUCUGCAGGCCUUCAGUUGACUAGCAUAAGAAAAAUUUAUUGAGAGAAAGAAAUUAAGAAGCACAGAAGGGGGUCUCAGAAACUCAACAAAAGACCCAGAGCCGUGAUCUUCAUAUGCUACUUUCUGCAGAUGCACUAGAACUGUGCUCAACAACCACAUAACUUUAAAAGGGGCAAAGAAAUUCAAGAUGUGCUCAGAGAAGCAUCAUAGAAAGAUAAGACUAUUAGGAAUGAUGAGGGGAAGAAGAACCCUUCAACUUAUAAGAGAAAAGGAAGGGUUAUCUGCAUUUUUCAGCCUUCCCUGCUUGGAAAACACU